rnacentral:lncRNA from 10 species
CAAGUGCUCUGCCCAAAAUUCUGUCCUAAGGACAGUGGUAAAGGGAAUUCUUCCUAAUGGAAGAGGGAAGAGAUCGCUGCCCUGGCUGAGAUGACUGCAUACUCCAAGUGAACUGCCCACUCCAAGAGGUAGAAGCAAAGAGGAGACACAGGAGACUUCUAAGAUCUCUCUUAUUGCCCUUGAAGGCUGCAGAUCCUGCUCCUUUGCCCCUGGGACCCUGGAGAGCCCCUGUCUUGAGGACCCCCAAUUGCAGGUGCCUGUUUUGCUCUGGGAUGCUCCUGCCUGGGUUGUAGUGCUAGAGGUGGCCCACGUGAGGCAGCAGCCUCCUGGGUCCCUGGUGCCCACUGAGCUUUGCUGGAGCAGUGGGAACUGAAGGAUGAUCAUGUUGCAGACCCAACCAAUGGUUCUGGUCCGUGGCCUGUUCGGAACCGGGCAGCACAGCAGGAGGUAGAGGCAGUUCUAGUGUCUUCCACUUGGCCUUUCCCACCAGAAUAGCCCUUCCUCCACAAGUCAGGGAACCAAUGUGGGGAUCUGUCAGCUGCUGAGUGUAUCCAUUUCAAUUAUGCAUUCUGGAACUGGGGAAAUAAUCACAGGAUGUCUUUGGGGAUCCACUGGACCCACCGUGAGAUGGACCUGGGAAAAAAAAUCUUGAGCUGCAUUCACAUUAGUGAUUCAUAAACUGAUAAGCAUGAGAGCCUUUCAGGUUAUAAGAAAGGGAUACAAGGACGCAAAAGAGGGAAUUCAACAUAAAUGAAGAAGGAACCUAACUCAGCCAUGGGGCGAGAAGGUGUCUGUGAACUCACAGUGAGCAAGGCUGUAUUUGGGAGAUGGAAGUAUUUUGAAGUGUUCUUUGAGGUUGACUCUUUAGCUUCCCUUCACAUCAACCAUGGUAAUUCCAUUCCCCUUGGGAGGGACUAGCUAAAGAAUGGGCA